rnacentral:rRNA from 1 species
AUUGAACGCUGGCGGCAUGCUUUACACAUGCAAGUCGAACGGCAGCGGGGUAGUGCUUGCACUACUGUCCGGCGAGUGGCGAACGGGUGAGUAAUAUAUCGGAACGUACCGAGUAAUGGGGGAUAACCAAUCGAAAGAUUGGCUAAUACCGCAUACGUCCUAAGGGAGAAAGCGGGGGAUCGCAAGACCUCGCGUUAUUCGAGCGGCCGAUAACUGAUUAGCUAGUUGGUGGGGUAAAGGCCUACCAAGGCGACGAUCAGUAGCGGGUCUGAGAGGACGAUCCGCCACACUGGGACUGAGACACGGCCCAGACUCCUACGGGAGGCAGCAGUGGGGAAUUUUGGACAAUGGGGGCAACCCUGAUCCAGCCAUGCCGCGUGUAUGAAGAAGGCCUUCGGGUUGUAAAGUACUUUUGUUAGGGAAGAAAAGGGGAGUGCUAAUACCACUUUUUGCUGACGGUACCUAAAGAAUAAGCACCGGCUAACUACGUGCCAGCAGCCGCGGUAAUACGUAGGGUGCGAGCGUUAAUCGGAAUUACUGGGCGUAAAGCGAGCGCAGACGGUUAUUUAAGCAGGAUGUGAAAUCCCCGGGCUUAACCUGGGAACUGCGUUCUGAACUGGAUAGCUAGAGUGUGUCAGAGGGGGGUAGAAUUCCACGUGUAGCAGUGAAAUGCGUAGAGAUGUGGAGGAAUACCGAUGGCGAAGGCAGCCCCCUGGGAUAACACUGACGUUCAUGCUCGAAAGCGUGGGUAGCAAACAGG